rnacentral:rRNA from 1 species
UACGUAGGGUGCAAGCGUUGUCCGGAAUUAUUGGGCGUAAAGAGCUCGUAGGCGGUUUGUCGCGUCUGCUGUGAAAACUCGGGGCUUAACCCCGGGCCUGCAGUGGGUACGGGCAGACUAGAGUGCGGUAGGGGAGACUGGAAUUCCUGGUGUAGCGGUGAAAUGCGCAGAUAUCAGGAGGAACACCGGUGGCGAAGGCGGCCAUCUGGCUCGGUACUGACGCUCAGGCGCGAAAGCGUGGGGAGCAAACAGG